rnacentral:lncRNA from 1 species
UAAAUGCAUUAUUAUUAUUAUUUUUUUUUUAGCCAAGAGCUCACAGAAGCAAGAAAUAAAUCACCAUGCCUCCAAAUGAGGCGGUGACUGGGAGUGAGCCGGGUGUUUGAUGAGGUCUCUGAGGGCUCAUGGUUUCCUUCCAGCUCCGUAGCACACAGCUAAGUCACACCAUCUCUCCUGACCCCACUUUCACUGAUGUUCCAAUUAAAAGCUCCUUAAAAGAGUAAUUAUUUUCUUUUCAGUUGUUUAUGUUUGUGUAUAUGCGCAUGUGUACGGAGGCCAGAGGGGGAGUUGGAAUUACAGGAAUUACAGGGUGAGCCAUCCUCCGCGUGGAUGCUAGGAACUGAACUCAGGUCCUCUGCCAGAGCAGCAAGUGCUCUUAACUGCUGAGCCCUCUCUCAGCUCCUCCAACAUCAUGUUAGCAACCCCUGCUUUGCUCCCCCCCCUCAAUAGCAUCAGAAUCAGGAGAAGUCAUGCAAGAUGGAGGUCCUAUAUUCUAUGAUUAUGAAAUUUGAUCCCCUCCCUUACCUAAUUAUAUACUAAUUAAUCUAAUUUUCACCUCUAGGGGAAACAAGCAUUUCUUUCCUUUAGAAUUCUUUUCUCCCCAAGACAGGGUCACAUGUGUCCCAGGCUGGCCUUGAACUCAGUGCAUAGCUGAAGAUGGUCUUGAACCCCUGUUCCCCCUGCUUCUUUUCUUGAAGACUAAGAUGACAGGCAUGCACUUCUACACCCAGUUUUGCAUGGUGAUAGGAACCAGAGCUUCAUGCAUGCAAGGCAGGCGUUCUGCCGACUGAGCUACAUCCGUGGUCCAUUUCCUUAGGACUUCAGUCAUUUUCUUUGAGUUCAACUGGAUUUUACCUGUGUCAUUUGUGCAGAUCCCCCCAGUUUCCUCCUUUCUAUUUUAUUUUAGCUCUAUGAAGAUUUACUAUUUUUCCCCCUCUAAGGAGGUAAGCCUUCAUCUCCAGAUUCACCUUAGAAGGCUCAGAGAGAACUGAGACAACACCCCCUGGGUUCAUACGCUUUUAGGGUUGGCCCCAGUUAUAAAGUGUAAUUAUGGUGCCUUCUUGCCUGAUGCUAGAGACAAGUCUGAGGAGGCCUCUCGGACAUUCCUGUGCAUUCCGUGGGCCUGUAACUAAUUGCAGUGCUGGUGAUGAGCAAGUCCUUCAGAAGGCCUCUGCUGCUGAGGCCUUGCUUUCUGUAAUGCCUACAUACCCCGUGAAUUUAAUUACCACCGUCUUGGUGCCUGACAAUGUGCUUCACUUAUAAACCUUAUAUUUAUGUUUGGAUAGGACUGGAGGCUGUGUGUGUUGUAACCACUACACCCCAGACAUGCACGAAAACAGCCUUUUGAACUCACACUGAGUAUGUGGUUUAAUGACCCGUAGCAUGUGAUAUUCUUUUCUUGGUUGGGAAACUAUUUUUCAAGUUCUGUUCUCUCGAAACCCCUUUUUUCUCCCUUCCUGCCUCCCUCUAAAUUUUUGUAAUGCUGUGUUUCCUCUGGAAAGAUUAGGUAAGAGGGAACACGUGUGUGAAGUCCUGGCUGACUCCCCUGUGCUGCAGGCUGGUGAGACAGAGGCCAAAGGCCAAAUGACUUCAGCACCUGACGAGGGUGUGGAUCUCAUUAUAGCUGCAGGGUCUGGGGAUCGAAUGGGUGGCUGAAAAAAGUCAGCGGACUUGCUUGAUGCCUGGUCAACAGUUUGUGCAAAAGCAGGUCUUCGGCGUGGCCAGUCAGUCAUUCCAAACUAAUUUUGUUUCAGCAGAAAGCCCCUCCGCCUGCCCCCGUCCACAGCCCUUUUCCCUCACAUAGUGAUUUGUGGACUUUGGAGGAGAUUAUCUUCUUCAAUCUUUCUUUUAUAAUAAGUAGGCUAUUAUUACUCAUCUCACUGCAGCGAGAAGUAUAUGACAGAAGGGCCUUAGGGAAGAAAGGGGUUAUUUGGGUUCAUAGUUUGAAGGUGCAGCCCUCCAUGGUGAGGAAGGCGUGGUGAUACAAGCACGUAUCCGCUGAAGUCAGGAUGCAGAGAGACAUGGGUACUGGGGAGCAACUCACUUUUUCUCCCUCUUAUUAAAUCCACGCUCCCAGCCCAUAGGACCGUGCUACCCACACCAUCUUCCCGAGGUCUUCCCACUUCAGUCACCUUAGAAACUCCCUCACAAACACGGCCAGGGCUUGUCUCCUCUGUGAUUCUAGAUCUACCAAGUUGAUAAUCAGCAUUAACCAUCCCAGAUGGUCCUUGGAGAGUUUCCCUAGGUCUCAGAAUUGGCCAGAGCACUUUGGUUUGUGUGCACUCUCAUGAGUUGGUGCACAUGGAUGCAAGACACAUGUCUUCAUGUCCUCUGAUCUAAGCACUUGGUUCAUGUUUUGUGAGAUACUGCUUGGUCCUCAAGAUCUAGUCGUGGCCUUUAAAGAAUGCACUGAAGACUGGGGAGUUGAAGCUCACAAGGAUUAACACGUGUGUAGCCGUGGUCAGCUUACUCUGCGGUGGAGUGGUAGAGCAGCACCAUAGGGUAUGAAUGAAGCUGAGGAAGGAUGUCAGUGGACAACCAAAGGGAAGUGUAGAUGUAGCCUCUAGGAGUGCCUGGCCUCCAAGGUACAAAGCUCAGAGCAACAGAACAGGAAUGAGAGUGAGCCACUGGGCAACCAUGGAGGCAGAGAGUGCAUUUGGCCCCACAGGGCAGGAACACAAUGUUCCUGUGAAAGUCUAAGGUGGCUGCUUCUUGGCCCAGGGGAUGGAGAUGUGCCAAAGGUUUUAAAUUAGGCAAGGGGGAGGAUACAAUGAAGAUAACUUGUUUUGGGCAAUGGCAUCAUCAGAGACAUGGCAUCAGCUUGGACUUUUGGACAGACUCUCAGCAUAGGCGACACAGAAUAUUCUGGGGGGGGAUAUCUCACUCUAUGAGUGCUCUGUUCGUGUGAGAUCUGCAGCAAGAGCUUUGAGAAUGCCUGAAGUCAUUGCUUCUUGUCAUCUUGAGAGGUUUGUUCUGAUGGUUUGUUGUAGUAGGAGAGUCAAGGGCAGUUAGGAUUCUCCCUAUUUAGAAAGGUAAGUCAGAGGCAAGGAAAGAGAGACAGCUACCCCUGAGGCCAGGAGCUAUCAAGUGAGUGGCAUGAGCCGGCUGGCUGCCUCUAACCUGACCUCACUCAUCCCAGGACUGACUUGCAUGUUCCAAGUUGUGAAGUUCUUGGCUGCACUUUAUAGGUCCAGGAAGGUCUGCCUAACUGCCUGCCAGCUUGUGUGAGGGAGGGUUCAGUGUGAGCAUGGCAUAAAGAGCAUGAAGGGGGAGGGGAGGAGGACACAUGUUCUUCUAAGGUGUCACCUGCUUCUGCCUUGCCAUUUGGAGCCUCCUUUGGAUUGUCUGUUCACUUUUGGCUUUGUUUUGUCUUCCAUUUAAGGAGGAGAAAUGCAGCCGGCUUGAGGAGGGUCCUGUUGAGCUGAUUACCAUGAGCCGCCCUAAACCAGAACUGAUCAAGCUCUGCUGGCAGCGUCUUUAGAACUUGGGUGGCCCCAUUCAAAGCUGAAAAAAAAAUCAACAAAAGGGCAAGGGUGGGGAGAUUUCAUGCACAUCCUUGAAUAAAGGAGUGAUGGUUUUCAAACUCUAUUUCUGAUACAUUUUCUAAAUUUUGAUGACAUCUCUGGCUUAAGCCCUGAAAAUUUGUGACAUUCUCUGAUCAAGCAUUUUCUUUGGAGAUUGGCUUGAUUAUGGGCUUGGGUCCUGAGUGAUUUUUUUUUUUUAAACAUAAGAAAUCAGCUCAUCUAGUACUCAAUAAAAUCCCCCUUUCCAAAGGAAUGGCCCUGUGCUGGAAGAUGUUAUGGCUUGGAGCAAGAGAAUAGGGCACUGUACUUAGGGAAUCUCCACAUUCAGGAGACAGAAGAUAAUUCAGAACUUACUUAUUUUAGCACAGCUAUUUAUUUUCCCAUAGGACCUAUGAUCUCCCCUGCCAUGGGAUUUCGACUGGUCUCACAGGAUUCCUUCCUGCAGAGUGGGCCUUAAAUCCAGUCAGAGAGCAGUUAGUGAGCUUCAUAGUCACCCUGUCACUAGUGCACUAGGCAUGCGUUGCCUGGCAGGGUGUGUCAUGGUCGGUGACCACCUGGUCUAAAGAGUAACAAUGUGGACAUGUGGAUAGGAAGGAGAUUUACUGAGUUCUUGCCAUGGUACAGACCCUGAUGUUCAUUCUGAUUUUUCUGGCACUUUAUGGCUUUUUUCUGGAAAGCUAUAGGAAUCCAGUAACGGCAGAGGCACAACCUUAGGCAUAACUCUUCCUGGCUGCCACAAAGAGGAUGGGAUUGAACCCAAGGAGGAAGCAGAACAAUUGUGGACAACAGAAGUCUCCUCAAUUUGGCAGGGGCCACGGGAAAACAAUAGCUUUUCUGAGAGCGGCUCUCCUAACAUUUGCUUCCUGUGUUCCCAGCAUCCAGUGCUCAUGAGAUGACCACGCUCGUCCUCUAUCUGUAGCCCAGCUCACAAUGCAACCUAAGUAUGUUCAGAGAUAUAAACUAGGCUAUAGCUGUACUGACUUGAACACAGCC